UACGUAGGGGGCAAGCGUUGUCCGGAUUUAUUGGGCGUAAAGAGCGUGUAGGCGGCCAGGUAGGUCCGUUGUGAAAACUCGAGGCUCAACCUCGAGACGCCGAUGGAAACCAUCUGGCUAGAGUCCGGAAGAGGAGAGUGGAAUUCCCGAUGUAGCGGUGAAAUGCGCAGAUAUCGGGAAGAACACCCGUGGCUAAGGCGGCUCUCUAGUACGGUACUGACGCUGAGACGCGAAAGCGUGGGGAGCGAACAGG
rnacentral:rRNA from 1 species